rnacentral:lncRNA from 1 species
UUUUGAUCAAUUUUUGUCAACUUUGAGAAUCCCUUUGAUCCUCAAGAAAUUACCAAAAACUAGUUUUUUUGGAAGCUUUCUCUGUCUAAAAUGGGCUCCAAUCAAGUUUAGGUUUCAAAUGAAUUUAAAAACAUCCUUCUAACCCUUUAUAUUUAAAAAUAAAUCAAUACAAAAAAAAAAAUUCCGCCUCAAGGCGAGGCGCCCUCCUAGGCAACCGCCCGGGGACUGUCGCCCAGAUUGGCCACCUAGGCCUUGGCGAUUCGCCUAGGCCUUUUGGACCGCCUAACCUAGGCGCUGGGCGAUCCGCUUUUUGAAUCACUGGUCAGCACUUUAUACCAGGUACCUUCCAGGCUUCCUUCGCUCAUCUCUCGAUGCCAUUACAGUCGUUGCGUUGGGGUGGAAAACGCGAAUCAGGGGGGUCUUGUACUGCUCGGCCAGAUUGGCAGCGGAUGAAGCAGGGAUAGGGAUGAUGGACAUUGUAACAAUGUUUUUUCAUUAGGCCAUAAUUUUACAGGGAGCAUAUCAUAAAUUGUUUUACCAGCCAUUCUUUGCAGGCUAAUUUUGGAGACUCUCUAAGAUCUUUUUUUGAUGGUGUCGGUAUUUAGUCAUUAUGGUGACCUUUUCUAGUGUUGCUUUUACAAUUUGUCACCGUGAUUCUUCUGUAG